UACCUUGUUACGACUUCACCCCAGUCGCUGACUAUACCGUGGUCAAGGGUUUAAAACCUUGCCUUAAGGUAGAACCAACUCCCAUGGUGUGACGGGCGGUGUGUACAAGACCCGGGAACGCAUUCACCGUGGCACGCUGAUCCACGAUUACUAGUAAUUCCAGCUUCAUGCACUCGAGUUGCAGAGUGCAAUCCGAACUGAGGUAUCUUUUGAGGAUUUGCUUAACGUCGCCGUCUUGCUUCCUGUUGUAGAUACCAUUGUAGCACGUGUGUAGCCCAACACGUAAGGGCCAUGAGGACUUGACGUCAUCCCCACCUUCCUCCAGCUUAUCACUGGCAGUUCUUUCAGAGUGCCCAACUUAAUGAUGGCAACUAAAAGUGAGGGUUGCGCUCGUUGCGGGACUUAACCCAACAUCUCACGACACGAGCUGACGACAGCCAUGCAGCACCUGUGUUUCGUCCGGCCGAACCGAAAACUCUAAUCUCUUAGAGUCGCGACGAACAUGUCAAGUGUUGGUAAGGUUCUGCGCGUAUCUUCGAAUUAAACCACAUGCUCCACUACUUGUGCGGGUCCCCGUCAAUUCAUUUGAGUUUUAACCUUGCGGUCGUACUCCCCAGCNCGGUGUGUUUAUCGCUUUCGCUGCGACACUGAAAAUAAAUUUCCAACGUCUAACACACAUCGNUUUACGGCAUGGACUACGANGGGUAUCUAAUC
rnacentral:rRNA from 1 species